AUUGAACGCUGGCGGCAGGCCUAACACAUGCAAGUCGAGCGGGGUUUUCGGACCUAGCGGCGGACGGGUGAGUAAUGCGUAGGAAGCUACCCGAUAGAGGGGGAUACCAGUUGGAAACGACUGUUAAUACCGCAUAAUGUCUACGGACCAAAGUGUGGGACCUUCGGGCCACAUGCUAUCGGAUGCGCCUACGUGGGAUUAGCUAGUUGGUGAGGUAAUGGCUCACCAAGGCGACGAUCCCUAGCUGGUUUGAGAGGAUGAGCAGCCACACUGGAACUGAGACACGGUCCAGACUCCUACGGGAGGCAGCAGUGGGGAAUAUUGGACAAUGGGCGCAAGCCUGAUCCAGCCAUGCCGCGUGUGUGAAGAAGGCCUUCGGGUUGUAAAGCACUUUCAGUAGGGAGGAAGCGUUGUGUGUUAAUAGUACACAGCGUUGACGUUGCCUACAGAAGAAGCACCGGCUAACUCUGUGCCAGCCGCCGCCGUAAAAC
rnacentral:rRNA from 1 species